rnacentral:rRNA from 1 species
GUGGGGAAUAUUGGACAAUGGGCGAAAGCCUGAUCCAGCCAUGCCGCGUGUGUGAAGAAGGUCUUCGGAUUGUAAAGCACUUUAAGUUGGGAGGAAGGGCAGUAAGCUAAUACCUUGCUGUUUUGACGUUACCGACAGAAUAAGCACCGGCUAACUUCGUGCCAGCAGCCGCGGUAAUACGCAGGGUGCAAGCGUUAAUCGGAAUUACUGGGCGUAAAGCGCGCGUAGGUGGUUGUGUAAGUUGGAGGUGAAAUCUCCGGGCUCAACCUGGGAACUGCAUCUAAAACUGCAUGACUAGAGUACGGUAGAGGGUAGUGGAAUUUCCUGUGUAGCGGUGAAAUGCGUAGAUAUAGGAGGGAACACCAGUGGCGAAGGCGACUACCUGGACUGAUACUGACACUGAGGUGCGAAAGCGUGGGGAGCAAACAGGCUUAGAAACCCCAGUAGUCC